rnacentral:lncRNA from 1 species
GGGACUCGAACUUGAGUGCAAAAGGGUGGACUCACUCUCUUAGUCAACAGACCUAACUCAUGUCAGCUAUUUUAUCAAUAGUAAACAUACGAUUAGGAAACCGGAAAAGCACGUCUUUUACCAAUUAUAUUCAAUAUAGAGAAUGCACUUGUCUGAGGAACCUCUCGAGUUUUGUUGGAAGAUUAAAACUCAAAUUGUUUCUUUUAUCAAAGAAGACUCACUUGAAACACCAAACAUUAGUUGCUAUACAUAAAGAUGCCAAUUGCUUUUCUUUUGACAAUAAUAUUCAAAUUAUUUCGUCAUAUCGAUAGAUUUAUUUGUUCUUUUCCCUUGAGUAGUUAACAACUGAAGAAGCAAUAACAAGCAUAGUCAGUGCCAGCAACAUUGGCAAUGCAUUCAUGUCCAGCAUCAUGGUGUUU